CAGCAGUAAGGAAUAUUGGUCAAUGGACGAAAGUCUGAACCAGCCAUGCCGCGUGGAGGAUGAAGGUCCUCUGGAUUGUAAACUUCUUUUAUAUGGGACGAAAAAAGGGUUUUCUAACUCGUCUGACGGUACCAUAUGAAUAAGCACCGGCUAACUCCGUGCCAGCAGCCGCGGUAAUACGGAGGGUGCAAGCGUUAUCCGGAUUCACUGGGUUUAAAGGGAGCGUAGGUGGGUUGGUAAGUCAGUGGUGAAAUCCCCGAGCUUAACUUGGGAACUGCCAUUGAUACUAUCAGUCUUGAAUACCGUGGAGGUCAGCGGAAUAUGUCAUGUAGCGGUGAAAUGCUUAGAUAUGACAUAGAACACCAAUUGCGAAGGCAGCUGGCUACACGAAUAUUGACACUGAGGCUCGAAAGCGUGGGGAUCAAACAGGAUUAGA
rnacentral:rRNA from 1 species